GUUCUUUUGGUUAAUAAUUUAAAGUUUAAUCUGCCCCCUGAUUGAUAAUUAAAGGGCUGCAGUAUAUUGACUGUACAAAGGUAGCAUAAUCAUUAGUCUUUUAAUUGAAGACUUGUAUGAAAGAUUUGAUGAAAUAUAAACUGUCUCUAAGUUAAUUAUAGAAAUUAAUUUUUUAAUUAAAAAGUUAAAAUAAUUUAAAAAGACGAGAAGACCCUAUAGAGUUUUAUAAUAAUUAAAAAUUUGGAUUAUGUAUAUAAAUAAUAAAUUUAAAAUUUUAUUAUUAUUUUAUUGGGGUGAUAGAAAAAUUUAAUUAACUUUUUUAAAAAAAAAAUCAUAAAUAAGUGAAUAAAUGAUCCAUAAAUAGUGAUUAAAAAAAAACAUUACGGUAGGGAUAACAGCUUAAUUUUUUUUUUUAGUACAAAUAAAAAAAAAAGGUUGCGACCUCGAUGUUGGAUUAAGAUAAAAUUUAAAUGCAAAAGUUUAAAAUUUUGAUCUGUUCGAUCAUUAAAAUCUUACAU
rnacentral:rRNA from 1 species